AUCCAAGAGCAUGCAUGAGGAUCAACUCCUGGCCCUCCUGGUAGCACCUGAGUACUGCAACCUGUGAUGCAACUCAAAAAGGAGACUGUGGUCCUGAGACCAAGAGUACAGCCUAGCAUAGGGCAGUGCCAUGGCUCUGGGUGUGCAUGUUGGAAGGGAUGUACAGACUGCGUUUCCAGAGUGUGCCUGCUGGAAAGAAGGCAUGUGACAAUUGCCUGACUUGCCCAAAUCAAUCUAUUUCUGAAUGCAAAAUCACCACCCUACACUACCUACUGUCUGGAGCAACUCCAGGCUGGAUUUGAUGUACUUUUGACUGAUAUCUGACCUACAGCCACAGAGAUUUCUUGAAGGUAUCCCCUAACUGAAGUCCCUCGGAGCAAAACUAGAUUGAUUGUCAGUAUUUUCUCAGUGUUUUCUUUCUUCUUGCGUUCACGUGGUUGUGAUAUGCUGCAGUGUAUUGGAGUCAACCUGAGAACUUUCCCCCACAGCCACAGCGUGUACUGUGUUGAGAACUGUCGCUUGUUGAGCCAUGCUGAUCUUAGCAGGGCUGCUUGUGGCUGGGAGGGAGAAAUGUUCUGUCCUUUUCUGAAGCACUUGUUCCAACAAAAAACUCACCAAAAAAACAAAAAGCAACAAACAGCCCAGCCCACAAGCAGUGGAAGCAUGACUUCAUCUCAGUUUUCUCCAUGCUGUGCUGGGCAGAAGAGCAGGUAAGCCAUUUGCAGAUGAAAAAAUACACUGCUAGGAGUUCUCCCUGUGGGAAACAACUGCUUCGCCGAGGAAUGAUUUAAACAGCUGUAGUUUGUCUUGACAGCAUAUUGUCUCUAUCACUGGACCUGCAAAAUAACCUUUUUUCCAAAGUUAUUCUUAGCUGUAAAUUCAGAUACUGCAGAAUGUGCCUUUGCAGGUGUUGGGCGUUUCUUGAAAGAGACAGAGGUAGUUGAAAAACGAAGGGAUGCUUUGACAAAAAAAUGUCUUUAUCUGCCAAAUAACAUUUCAGUGUAAAAGGGAAAAAUAUAAGUGUGGUUCACCUAGAAAGGGAAAUAAAAUUUG
ensembl:lncRNA